rnacentral:misc_RNA from 1 species
CGCUAAGUUAGUUAAGUUAGUUAAACCAGCUACCAUAUAACAUAUUUACAAAAACCGUGCGCACAAAGGAUUAUUAUGUAUUUUGUUUAUAUACAAAAAUGUAUGUAACAUUUCUUGACAAUAUGCAAGAAUUAAGUGCGACAGGAUAAAAAAAAUAACUAAAUAACCGUCUUAGGCGGUGGCAUGACGUCACGAUAACGGAAAAUAUGAUUUACUAACUACUUUAAAAAAAUUACACUGUAACUAGGGUUGCCAACUCAUAAAAUAAUUAAAUCGACGUAGUUUUAUGUAAUAUUCCUAGCAUUUAUAUAUUUAAGUAUUAAAACGGGUACCUACCUACAUAUUACUACUAAAGCCUGGCUUCCUAUAUGAUAUCUCAAAUGUGUUUUAAAUUAAAUCGGGUAUUAAUAAAUUUUGGACCCGUAUUUUGUUUUGAUUCCAACUCUAGCUACAAUAUUAAGGAAAAUAUAUAAUAAGUAAUAUACAUUCGAGUAACAAAC